GUACGCAGCUGAACCCCUCCCAGAGAGACUCAAAAGCUACCGACAUUUCAUCGACGGAGACACUCCAUAAUCCAUACGGAGUACUCCGUACCGUGGUUAACGGUUCCAUGAUCCGUGACUGUAUGGAGUACUCACUAAUGAGUGUGGAAACUCUGACACUACCUUGCUGAAUCGGCCCUGAAAUGAUCCGAGGGAUCGAUCGUGAAGCUAAAGAAAUAUGGUUUAGUUAUGCACCGUAUUGCGAUAUGGUAUGAGGAGAUCAUUACGAGGCUUGUCAGAUAACAUUUUCCUACAAUUGGUCACACAGACUCACAGGGAUUAGAUCCCAAUCAGGAUGCAGCU
rnacentral:lncRNA from 1 species